GAUGAACGCUAGCGGGAGGCCUAACACAUGCAAGCCGAGCGGGAUUUGUUGGUUAGCUUGCUAACUAACAAUGAGAGCGGCGUACGGGUGCGUAGCACGUGUGCAACCUGCCUUUAUCUGGGGGAUAGCCUUUCGAAAGGAAGAUUAAUACCCCAUAACAUAUUGAUUGGCAUCAGUUAAUAUUGAAAGCUCCGGCGGAUAGAGAUGGGCACGCGUAAGAUUAGCUAGUUGGUGAGGUAACGGCUCACCAAGGCUGCGAUCUUUAGGGGGCCUGAGAGGGUGAUCCCCCACACUGGUACUGAGACACGGACCAGACUCCUACGGGAGGCAGCAGUGAGGAAUAUUGGACAAUGGGUGAGAGCCUGAUCCAGCCAUCCCGCGUGAAGGACUCAGGACCUAUGGUUUGUAAACUUCUUUUAUACAGGGAUAAACCUACUCUCGUGAGGGUAGCUGAAGGUACUGUAUGAAUAAGCACCGGCUAACUCCGUG
rnacentral:rRNA from 1 species